GGGAAUGUAGCUUAGUGGUAGAGUGUUUGCCUAGCAUGCAUGAAGCCCUGGGUUCAAUUCCCUAGUACUA
rnacentral:tRNA from 1 species